AGUGAACGCAGGCGGUAGGCCUAACACAUGCAAGUCGAACGGCAGCACAGGAGAGCUUGCUCUCUGGGUGGCGAGUGGCGGACGGGUGAGGAAUACAUCGGAAUCUACUUUUUCGUGGGGGAUAACGUCGGGAAACUUACGCUAAUACCGCAUACGACCUAUGGGUGAACGCAGGGGACCUUCGGGCCUUGCGCGAUUGAAUGAGCCGAUGUCGGAUUAGCUAGGUGGCGGGGUAAAGGCCCACCAAGGCGACGAUCCGUAGCUGGUCUGAGAGGAUGAUCAGCCACACUGGAACUGAGACACGGUCCAGACUCCUACGGGAGGCAGCAGUGGGGAAUAUUGGACAAUGGGCGCAAGCCUGAUCCAGCCAUACCGCGUGGGUGAAGAAGGCCUUCGGGUUGUAAAGCCCUUUUGUUGGGAAAGAAAUCCAGCUGGCUAAUACCCGGUUGGGAUGACGGUACCCAAAGAAUAAGCAUCGGCUAACUUCGUGCCAGCCGCCGCCGUAA
rnacentral:rRNA from 1 species